rnacentral:rRNA from 1 species
AUUGAACGCUGGCGGCAUGCCUUACACAUGCAAGUCGAACGGUAACGGGCCUUCGGGUGCCGACGAGUGGCGAACGGGUGAGUAAUACAUUGGAACGUGCCCGAUCGUGGGGGAUAACGAGGCGAAAGCUUUGCUAAUACCGCAUACGAUCUACGGAUGAAAGCAGGGGACCGCAAGGCCUUGCGCGGACGGAGCGGCCGAUGGCAGAUUAGGUAGUUGGUGGGAUAAAAGCUUACCAAGCCGACGAUCUGUAGCUGGUCUGAGAGGAUGAUCAGCCACACUGGGACUGAGACACGGCCCAGACUCCUACGGGAGGCAGCAGUGGGGAAUGUUGGACAAUGGGCGCAAGCCUGAUCCAGCCAUGCCGCGUGCAGGAUGAAGGCCUUCGGGUUGUAAACUGCUUUUGUACGGAACGAAAAGCCUUCUUUUAAUACAGGAGGGUCAUGACGGUACCGUAAGAAUAAGCACCGGCUAACUACGUG